GAGUUUGAUCCUGGCUCAGGAUGAACGCUGGCGGCGUGCCUAAUACAUGCAAGUAGAACGCUGAAGCUUGGUGCUUGCACCGAGCGGAUGAGUUGCGAACGGGUGAGUAACGCGUAGGUAACCUGCCUGGUAGCGGGGGAUAACUAUUGGAACGAUAGCUAAUACCGCAUAACAGUAGAUAUUGCAUGAUAUCUGCUUGAAAGGUGCAAUUGCAUCACUACCAGAUGGACCUGCGUUGUAUUAGCUAGUUGGUGAGGUAACGGCUCACCAAGGCGACGAUACAUAGCCGACCUGAGAGGGUGAUCGGCCACACUGGGACUGAGACACGGCCCAGACUCCUACGGGAGGCAGCAGUAGGGAAUCUUCGGCAAUGGGGGAACCCUGACCGAGCAACGCCGCGUGAGUGAAGAAGGUUUUCGGAUCGUAAAGCUCUGUUGUAAGAGAAGAACGAGUGUGAGAGUGGAAAGUUCACACUGUGACGGUAUCUUACC
rnacentral:rRNA from 1 species